rnacentral:pre_miRNA from 1 species
ACAAAAUGUAACAUUUAUUGACUUUCGGACGUCACAUUUGACCAUCCGUCUUAUUUAAAACUUUUGUGAAUAUAUUAUUUAUUUUGUUAUAAUUUGUUUUAUCGUUAGGUAUACUUCAAGUAUGACUUAUUUGUUUUUAUAUUUCUAUAAAUUUUUUGAAUAAGACGGAUAGUCAAACGUAAUGCGCGGAAACCGAU